AUUGUGAAAAAAUUCAAACACACAGCAAAGUUGAAAGGAUUUUUACAAGACACAGCUGUAUAUGCAUUUCCUGGAUUCUACUGUUAAUAUUUUAUUAAACUUGUUUAUUUUCUAACUAUCCCUCUAUCCAUCCUUCUAUCACCUUAUUUCCUGGAUGCCUUUCGAAGUGAAUUGCAGACAUCUGUACUCCUUCCCCUAAAGCAGCAUAGUGUUUUAUCAUCAUUUAAUAAUUUAAUACCUCAAUUUUGUAUACAUUAUGGAACCAGGAAACAUUAUAAGAAAUCACUGGACCCCAAAAAUGUUAAUUAGCCUUGGCUAGCCUGAAAGAGAACACAAUUUCCUAAGGUCCUAACUUUAAGGCACUUGAGGAUUCUUACUAAGGGCAAAUUCCUGAGAUGACAGAAAUACUAGUCAACACACAUCAAUGCCUAUGUUUUUCCCUCCUCCUGGAAUCCUGUGCUUUCCCCUUCCUGCUCCACCUGUUGAAAUCCUCUCUUCAUUCGUCCAAGAAUGAUCUCAGAUGUCUGCAAGGAACAUAAACCACUGUUACACACGUAUUGUUUUAAGGAAAAAAGUUACUGAAGAAGUCUGAACUGUCACCUCCUUCCCAAUCCCUUUCCUAAACCCCGAGUUUUAACUUUUCUCAUUUUAAUGCCCAUAAACUUUCAUUGCUAUUUUUCCUCCCUCAUUCUACCUUGUUGCAGUUUAGUGUUUAUUUGUUUGUUUAUCACGACUACUGCUCCUCCUCCUAAUAAUACUUAUGGUUAAUUUCUUUUUAAGGGACUAUAUCUUAAGACUAUGUGUCUUCUGCAGUUCUUUGCAUAGAGUCAACGUUGAAGGACAAGCAACUUCAAAUUUCCAAGCAACAAAAUUAUGUUCGGGUGGUUUUCUGAAAGCGAGAUCUUAAGAACCACCUGUAUCAGAAUCCCAUGAAGAGCUUGUUUAGUGUGCAAAUUUACAGAUUGUCCCCCCUCAGAAAUGCUCAUUUAGGAGUUCCUGUCCUUUGCGGGGACAUGGAUGAAGCUGGAAACCAUCAUUCUCAGCAAACUAACACAGGAACAGAAAACCAAACACUGCAUGUUCUCACUCAAAAGUGGGAGUUGAACAAUGAGAACACAUGGACACAGGGAGGGGAACGUCACACACCAGGGCCUGUCGGGGGUGGGAGGUGCUAAAAGGAUAAUACCAAGGAAAACUAUGGGUGGGGGCAGUGAAUGGCCAGCAUGCCUAUAAUCCCAGCACUUGAAGCCAGGAGUUCGAGACCAGCCUGGGAAACAAAGCAAGACCCUGUGUCUAAAAAAAUUUUUUUAAAAAUAAGCUGGGCAUGGUGGCACGUGCCUAUAGUCCCAGCUACUCAGCUACUCGGGAGACCAAGACAUGGAAUAAACUUGACAAGUGCUAAAGAUGCUCUUUGAUUUUUGUGUGGCAUGAGACCUCAGGCUGAAACUUCUCAUCUGAGCCAUUGAAGGGAGCCUCUCAUCUCUCCACCGAGAGGGGAGACCAGAAUGGCUCCUUCAGGCACAUUCUGUUGGGCUUCCCUCUACCUCCCCACUCUGCUGCUUCCCCGCUCUUUUUGAAUUUCUCCCUGUUGAGGAGAGGGAAGACCAGCUAGGAGCUCUGUUUCUGGCAGGAAUCUGACACCACUUACUCCUUGGGUAGAAACUCCCCCAAGUCUGAACUAUGUGAUUGCCUGAGCCCUGCUUCUUGUUCAUUAAGACUGCUCCUCUGAAACGGAAUUGAUGAAUUUUUAGUGGCUAUUAGAAGCAUUUGGGAUCCAUAGGCAUCAGGGUUUGAUGCAUGGCCCUCAUCUCUGUGGGCUCCUGUGCAAUGAUUCUCAUCUGUCUUAGUUAGAAAGUGAAUUAAUCUUGACCUUGGCCUCAGGGGUGUGGUUCUCUGCCCUCUUACACAUCUUCAAUUCGCUUCUUUAUCAGAAGCACUUGUUUUAGGCCCAGGCUCCCCCAAUUUUAAUGACAUUUAGACAUUUGUCUUUAAGUUACAUUGCUUUGAUUUUAAUCAAAAUCUAUAUUUCUAGUAUUAUAUGUUUCCAGAAAGUUCUCAUUCUGGAUUGUAAUUUAAUUACAUGGAUCAUUAAAGCUUUGAAGGAUGCUAAUGGGCAGAAAAAAGAGACUUAACAAAACGAAAGUUAUUAUUAGGAAUUACAAAUCACUUAACAUUUCAACAUCACUCGUCGGAUGUGGGCAUUUUGUUGAAAGAGACCUUGUUUUGAACAGUGACAGUGCAGAAGACCUAUGGAAGAAACAAGCUUCCAACUUGAUUUCUAUUGUUAUGCAUGCAUAGCAAAUUAUUAAUUCUAUUCUAAUAGGGUAAUAGAUUUAGAAAUACUAUUAGCAGAAAACUUGAUGUAUUAGGCAAUACUACAUACCACAUUAGUCUAACCGCUCAACUGUAAUUUUUCAUCCAUACUUUCUUGGGAUGUAAAUAAAAUUGAUAUUAUACAAUGAAAAUAAAA
rnacentral:lncRNA from 1 species